UAUCUGGUAAACUUCCCUGUCGUUUCAGGAUAGCUGGAUGCCUGUGAAAAAUAAAAAUGUAUAGUUUCAUUCUUAUUUUCGAGUAAAAUUGUGUUUUGCAUAUAGUGUUUUUUUGGUAGUGUAUUUUGAGUACCAGGAACAUGACAAUGUUGGCUGAGUGUGACAUUACUUAGAACACCGACUUGUCAUUCCCCUACAUGUUAUGAUGCCUUGCAGACUUUAGAUUUAUAUUGGUCAUUCAAAACAACAUCAAAAAACAUUUGGUCAAUUGCCAUGAUCACCUGGUCCAUCCCAGUUAAAAUGGAGAACAGGGCUAUUUUAUGUGCUCUAACUCUGCAUAUCUCUGUUUAGAGUUUAGUAAAGUAGGUCCAAUUACACAAAUUGGUAUCUCUACUAAUAAAGAAUAAUGCUACCAAAAAGGCUAUGUGUUAUGAGUAUUGGCAUGUGUAUCUUUUCCUAAACAAUGAUCCAUGCUCUCCAUCACAAACACACCCACACUCCACCCCUUGGUACAAAGGCGUUUGUGUUUUGUAUGAUCUCCAGUCACACUUCUUGAGGAGCCAGUUCAAACACACCGACAGCUAGAAUAAAGCCUGCACGGUUCAGAGAGGAAAACACUUCCACAUGAUGCACUAACCAGCGACCUUUACACCAGUCUGAGUCAACCCGUCUUCUUCAAAGUGUAAUAAAUAACAUACAGAAGAUUUAUAAUUUAGCAUUCAUAGAUCCAUUCUGGUAAGGCCAAGCUGAAACACCAGUCAAGGUUGGGGCAAAAAGGCAAAGACAUGCAUCAUUGCUGGAUGUAAGGUGAAGUGACAUAAACACAGCAAGAACAUUGAUGAGAGGACUGGAGUCUGCUGAGACACACCAUUUCAUGUGUUAUUUACUUAAUUUAGUUUGAAAUCGUUAACAUAAAGUAUCGAUUGUAUCUUUUGUCUUGUUUUCUGUUUUUCUGUUUUAGAUUCUAUUUAUUAUUUUCCCAA